ensembl:snRNA U6 U6 spliceosomal RNA
CAGCACACAUACAGAUACUCUGUAUCUGGAAUGAUACAGAGAUUAUUUAGCAUGGUUCCUGCACUAGGAUGACAUGCAAAUUUGUGAAGUGUUCUAUAUUAAA